rnacentral:tRNA from 1 species
GCCCGGAUGGCGGAACUGGCAGACGCGACGGACUCAAAAUCCGUUUCUCCUUGGGAGAGUGGGAGUUCGACCCUCCCUCCGGGCACCA